AGAAGGAAAAAUCACAAGGAAAAUAUGGUGGAAGUAUUGUUUAGGAUGAAGAGGGAGGUGAUUGAAGACAUUGCAAUAAUAUGGGGGUUGGUAGGGGUGUGUGGAUGCAAAUUUCUUCCUCCUUGAUCUUGGACAUAAUUGCACCUACAAAAUAACUAAUACCUUUGGUUAAAGCCAAAAGCUUCACGUGCCCACGAUCAAUGGGGGAGCUUUAGCCGAAGAACCUCUGAUGCUAAAGUUAGAAUUUAGAGAGAAAAGUAUUUAGAGAGUUUUUGGGAGUUUUGCAAGAGUGUUGGAACUAGCUUUUUAGAGAAAAUGGAGUCCUAUUUAUAGAGCAUGACUAGCCCUCUUUGGAAGAAAGAGUGGCCGGCCCUUGGGUAUUUUUGGGGGUGUAAUGGAUGAUUUAAUUGGUGAUUAAUGGAUUAAUUAGGAAUUAAUCCAUUAAUUAGCCAAUUAACCUCCACUUAAAUGGAAUGUUAUGUAGGUUAUAAAAUAAUUACUUAAGAUGAGGAUGGAUGAGAAUAUCUUUGAAUUUGUUACCUAUCUUGGACACUUUUGACUUGAUUGAUGGAUGAUUGUCCGCUGCUCGCGCGUAGGAAUCUCAGUAUGCCUUAAGGGUAUUUUUGUCCUCAUUUAUCCAAAAAUUCAUGUGUCGCCUUGUGAUUAUUUUUGGCUCCACAAAUGCCCCCACACCUGUUGGGCUGCUUGUAGGAAAUGGCAGCAGGUGUAGAGAUCUUCUUGCUUUAUGACACAUAGGAUUGCUUCCUUUUUUGAUGUAGAUUCGCUCUUUAAUAGGAAAUUAGAUCAUUCUAGGAAAGGGAAAUAAAUUUCUCUCAAAGUCUAUUUAAGUCCACCUUAAGUGGGUUAUUAAAUCAACUUUGGAGAGCGAUUUACUCUACCCUACAAGAGAGAGAGAGCUUAGAGGAUAUUUGUUCCCCCUCACUUAGCAAUCUUCUACAUCUUGCUCGUGCAAAUGACCGUCUUUCGUUGAUUUCUUCAUCUUCUCCGUGCCGCACCGAUGUAAGAAAAAUUUAAUUUUUCUUGUCUUUUUUUUGGAUAGUGUUGUCGCUGGGCAGUCGUCGGGAUGGUACAUCAUGUCGGCUGGCAGGGGCCAGGAGUCGGCUCGGCAUGGGCCGAUGAGGUGUUGUGGCAAGGACCACUGCUUGGGCAGCUCG
rnacentral:lncRNA from 1 species